rnacentral:rRNA from 1 species
GAUGAACGCUGGCGGCGUGCCUAAUACAUGCAAGUCGAGCGAACGGACGAGAAGCUUGCUUCUCUGAUGUUAGCGGCGGACGGGUGCGUAACACGUGGAUAACCUACCUAUAAGACUGGGAUAACUUCGGGAAACCGGAGCUAAUACCGGAUAAUAUUUUGAACCGCAUGGUUCAAAAGUGAAAGACGGUCUUGCUGUCACUUAUAGAUGGAUCCGCGCUGCAUUAGCUAGUUGGUAUGGUAACGGCUUACCAAGGCAACGAUGCAUAGCCGACCUGAGAGGGUGGUCGGCCACACUGGAACUGAGAAACGGUCGAGACUCCUACGGGAGGCAGCAGUAGGGAAUCUUCCGCAAUGGGCGAAAGCCUGACGGAGCAACGCCGCGUGAGUGAUGAAGGUCUUCGGAUCGUAAAACUCUGUUAUUAGGGAAGAACAUAUGUGUAAGUAACUGUGCACAUCUUGACGGUACCUAAUCAGAAAGCCACGGCUAACUACGUG